rnacentral:lncRNA from 10 species
UUGCAACCUCCAGCUCCCAAAUAACCAUAUAUUCAAACGAAAUUAACUCAAGAGUAGAAACUUUGUUGUUAAAAAGGAGGUGAAGGGAGACAAGGCUGUUGUAAACACCAACAAAUAUCAACUGAAUGAAUUUUGAUUAAGAUCUAGUAAAGUAGUACCAGUGAGCUGGUUUCCGCAGCAGUGACGGUACUUCCGCAGCUACGGAGUCAGGAUCACUUAGUCUGGUGCAUUCCACAGCCUGGAACACUCUGAAGGAGAGUCGUGAAAGCAAAGGAACUUCUCCCCAGGAAAAUCCACGUAUGUGCACAAACACACAAGCACGAUUUUGCACACAAUUGCAAGAGGUAUCUGAAAUCUCUAAAACUAUCUAUGAGCCUCCAAUGAGGUUCCCAGAUACAACAGACACUUCAUAUAACUCCCAGGAAUCCACCAAGGGGAUAAUAUUACCACCAUUUCAAGGACUGGGAAAACGAGUUCAGAGAAAUUAAAGCAUUUGCCCGGG